AGGGGUGUCAAUUCGGGCUGGCCCGGCCCGGUCCGGCCCAAACCCGCUAAGCCCGUAAAUAUUUGAGCCCGGCCCGGCCCGGCCCGAAAAUAAUUUGGGCCUAGAAUUCAAAGCCCGGCCCGGCCCUUAUAGGGCUACAGGGCUUUUCGGGCUUUUGUGGGCUUUUCGAAAAAUAAUUUGUCAUUGUCACUUCCAUCGUUUUAAUACAUGUGAAUUUUCAUUAAAAAAAGAGUUUCAUUUUUAAAAAAUAAAAAAAGUAUAAAGUGAGUUUAAAAUUUUCUUGUCUAUCACAAAUUUUUUAUUUUUU
rnacentral:lncRNA from 1 species